AUGAUGCAAAUUUGCAAUUGACUUUCCGUCUGACAGGGAAGAUGUUGUUAUGUUUUGGUUACUGUAUGGUUUUUAUUUUUCAUGGAUUUAUCAUUACUGAAGGAAGUAUGAUUCAUCAUGCUUUGGAUGAAAAACUUUCUCAAUCUGCAGUUGAUAUCCAAGUAUCUUCAAGUGUUAGGUCUAUUUACACUGUCGACAAAAACUUCUUGAGUGUAGCCCUGUCCCAGAAUAUACUGAACAACACACAUUGUGUUAAAAAACACUUUAAAUUCAGAUCUAAGAAGUUGCAAGCUAUUGCUAAAGCUCUGUCUCCAUGUUACCUGAGGAUGGGUGGAAAUAAGGCAGAUUUCCUUAUAUUCUCUAUCAAUGAAACAGAGUCUAUUAGUCCGGAGACACAGGAAGCCAAGCACAUAAGGGGCCAGGGUGCUGUACAUCAAGACAAACCCAUCCAAUUUGUUCCAUUAUUGAAGGAUUUUGAAUACGAGAAAAAAAAGAACUUUACAAAUUUUACAAUGACAGCUAGUAUGUGGGAUGAUAUCAACCAUUUCAUGAACAAGGUGGGAUGGGACUUUCUUUUCGAUCUCAAUGUCUUCCUUCGUAGUGAUGGCCAUUGGGAUUCUGAUAAUGCUAAGCUGCUACUGAAAUACACAGCAUCAAAGGGAUAUCGUUUAGCAGGAUGGGAACUUGGAAAUGAACCAGAUGAUUUCCAUGGAUACGGAUUUGACAUUUCACCUACUCAACUUGCCAAAGACUAUUCCACAAUGAAAAACUUGCUGAAAAUGUUGCCUGAUUAUGAGAAUUUUCAAAUCAUGGGACCAAGUGUCACUCAGUUGUUACAUGUACGAUCACAGAUAUAUUUCUCAGAUUUUCUUCAGAAUGGUGCAGGAAAAAUUGUAACAGCUCCCACAUUUCACCAUUACUACGUGGAUGGAAGGAUAGCCGCUAUAGGGGAUUUCCUCAGUCCACAUGUUCUUGAUGGCCUGGCACCUGAGAUCAUCACGGGUAACAAAAUUGCAGCCCAGUAUGCUCCUGGAAAGAGGGUAUGGAUUGGUGAAACAAGCUCUGCCUGGGGAGGGGGAGCCAGCGGACUUUCUGACAGAUAUGUUGCUGGAUUCAUGUGGUUGGAUAAGCUUGGUGUGGCUGCCAGUCAAGGAAUUGAGGUGGUAAUACGCCAGGCAUUCUACGGUGCUAAUUAUGGAUUGAUUGACUGGCAAACCUUGGAGCCGAAUCCUGAUUAUUGGUUAUCUGUGCUCUACAAGAAACUUGUGGGUUCCAAAGUGUUGCAGACUGAGAGCUCUGACAAAACGAGACACUUGCGAGCUUAUGCUCACUGUUCUACAGACAAAUUUCCUGCUGGAAGUGUAACUGUUUACAUAUUAAAUCUCUGGUCUACAGCGGUAAAUGUCACAUCUAGUCUGUUUGGGAAUCAAGAAAUUCAGAAGUUUCUUCUUCACUCCAAUGGGGAUCUACGGUCUCAAGAUGUUUAUCUGAACGGAAAACUACUGCAUAUGGAAGGUGAUUCUUUGCCAGACUUUAUACCUACCUCUGUCCGUGCUCCAGUGUCCUGGCCUGCUCAGACUUUUGGAUUUCUGGUUUUGCCCAAUGCGAAAGCAAAAGCCUGUAUGUGAUGAGUCUGAAGAAUGGGAGUAGGAGUUAUGAAUACAUGCAUUCCUUAUGGAGUAAUGAAGGCGCCAAUUGUGUUUAUCACUGUAUACAAUAAUAGGUUUAUCACUGUAUACAAUAAUUGGUUUAUCACUGUAUACAAUAAUUGGGUUAUCACUGUAUACAAUAAUUGGGUUAUCACUGUAUACAAUAAUUGGUUUAUUACUGCACUAAUACCCAGGUUAUUACACUACACACAUUUGCACGUUUUGUUCUUGGUUAGGCAAUUGACCAAAAAGUUACAAUUGUGUGACAUGUUUAUUUAUAAUUGUUGUCAUAAUAUAUUUAUUAUGCUACAAGAUCUGUUUGUGGUAUUUCAAAAUGUGUGCAAUCAUUUUAUGAAAGUUUAAUUUGAGUUCGAUAGCAAUUGUAUUAUCAGUAUGAUGUUUUUAUAAUCUAUUACUUGUUAUAUAAAAUAGAUGUAAUUAAAAUCAACACACCAUUGUCUUACCUGGUACAUAGUGCUCAUUUUCUAGUUUUAUCAUAUAUCAGGGAAUGUUUUUUGAUAUAUUGAGUAAAAGUGGGUGUACCAAUUGCUAGUUAUUUUAUGACAGGUCUACUAGACCUGGAUUUGACAGUGUUAAGUGACAGGUCCACUAGAUCUGGAUUUGAUAGUGUUUAGUGACAGGUCCACUAGAUCUGGAUUCGACAGUGUUUAGUGACAGUUCCACAAGAUCUGGAUUUUACAGUGUUUAGUAACAGUUCUACUAGAUCUGGAUUUGACAGUGUUUAGUGACGGUUCCACUAGACCUGGAUUUGACAGUGUUUAGUAACAGUUCCACUAGAUUUGGAUUGGACAGUGUUUAGUGACAGGUCCACUAGAUCUGGAUUUGACAGUGUUAAGUGACAGGUCCACUAGAUCUGGAUUUGACAGUGUUAAGUGACAGGUCCACUAGAUCUGGAUUUGACAGUGUUUAGUGACUGAUCCACAAGAUCUGGAUUUGACAGUGUUUAGUGACAUUUCCACUAGACCUGGAUUUGACAGUGUUUAGUGACAGUUCCACAAGAUCUGGAUUUGAUAGUGUUUAGUGACAGUUCCACUAGAUCUGGAUUCGACAGUGUUUAGUGACAGGUCCAGUAGACCUGGAUUUGACAGUGUUUAGUGACAGUUCCACUAGAUCUGGAUUUGAUAGUGUUCAACAUAUAUAGUGAUUUGAUAUAGCUGUUGUGUGUUCAAUUUCUCAAAACAGAAAUGCUAGUUCUGAAAAUGUUAUUGAAAUAUAUUUUUUUACAUUUUUAUAUAGAGAUACUCUUGAUGCUAUGUGAAUACCUUGUCUAAAUAGGAUGAAUGUAAGGAUAUACCCAAUAUAUACUGCAUAGUCAGCAUAUUGUUAUAUUCUGUUGUAUGAGUGAAAAUAUAUCGGGUUUUACGAAAGACUGUAAUUUUUUGGGAAAAAAUUACAUUAAUUUUUUUCAAUGAGAAUAAAAAACUAUUAAUCCAACUGCAUAAAAAAUGAGAAUAAAAAACUAUUAACACAACUGCAUCAAAAAGUGGUUAAUAGCAUGUUGUUAUAGUUACUGUAUUACAGGGCUUUUUGGGGCCAUUAAUGGCCCCUAUUCCCAAUUGAAAUUAUUUCAUAUUCAAGCCAAAUUCCCAAAAUUUGCAGUGUACUCCUGAAAAAAUCUUUUCCAAUUCACCAAUUUUCUUCCCAAAAUGAGACCAAAAUCGCCUUUCUAACAAACUAGUGAGAAAAAGGCGUGUAUUAUAUGAUAUUCUACCAUUGUUCAGUUUGCAUCUAGUCUGAAUUCACCGAUUUUUUCUGUGUGCAGUCUACCCACAAAAAAUAGGCACAUUAAAAUGCAAUGGAUAGAAGCGUUAUUGUGAUUUUCAACACUUUAUCACAAAAGGAUGAUAUUUUAUAGUAAUUGGUAAGUUUUGAUGAUAUUUUACAGUAAUCAGUAAGUUUUGAUAAUAUUUUACAGUAAUUGGUAAAUUUUGAUGAUAUUUUUACUGUAAUAUUUUAUUACCUUCUUGAUGAACAAAAUCAUGCAUUUACAAAUAAAUGAUAUCCUAGAAAGAA